rnacentral:rRNA from 1 species
UACGGAGGGGGCUAGCGUUGUUCGGAAUUACUGGGCGUAAAGCGCGCGUAGGCGGCUUUGUAAGUUAGAGGUGAAAGCCCGGAGCUCAACUCCGGAACUGCCUUUAAGACUGCAUCGCUUGAACGUCGGAGAGGUAAGUGGAAUUCCGAGUGUAGAGGUGAAAUUCGUAGAUAUUCGGAAGAACACCAGUGGCGAAGGCGACUUACUGGACGACUGUUGACGCUGAGGUGCGAAAGCGUGGGGAGCAAACAGG